GAGGGUACAGCUCAGUGGUAGAGUGCAUGCUUAGCAAGCACAGGGUCCUGGGUUCAAUCCCCAGUACCUCCA
rnacentral:tRNA from 1 species